AUCCCAUGUUGCGGGCAGGCUGCUCAUAACUUCUUGAAUCUCUCCCAAUAGUCAUAAAGACUCUCUCCAGCCUUUUGUCUAACCCCACAAAUUUCUCUUCAUAUGAUGGU
rfam:Jatropha curcas cultivar GZQX0401 scaffold234_183, whole genome shotgun sequence.